GAUGAACGCUGGCGGCGUGCCUAAUACAUGCAAGUCGAGCGAACGGACGAGAAGCUUGCUUCUCUGAUGUUAGCGGCGGACGGGUGAGUAACACGUGGAUAACCUACCUAUAAGACUGGGAUAACUUCGGGAAACCGGCGCUAAUACCGGAUAAUAUUUUGAACCGCAUGGUUCAAUAGUGAAAGACGGUCUUGCUGUCACUUAUAGAUGGAUCUGGGCUGCAUUAGCUAGUUGGUAAGGUAACGGCUUACCAAGGCAACGAUGCAUAGCCGACCUGAGAGGGGGAUAGGCCACACGGGAGCGGGGACGCGGACCAGACGCCUACGGUAGGCAGCAGUAGGGAAUCUUCCGCAAUGGGCGAAAGCCUGACGGAGCAACGCCGCGUGUGUGAUGAAGGUCUUCGGAUCGUAAUACUCUGUUAUUAGGGAAGAACAGAUGUGUAAGUAACUGUGCAGAUCUUGACGGUACCUAAUCAGAAAGCCACGGCUAACUACGUG
rnacentral:rRNA from 1 species